rnacentral:rRNA from 1 species
AGUGAACGCUGGCGGUAGGCCUAACACAUGCAAGUCGAACGGCAGCACAGUAAGAGCUUGCUCUUACGGGUGGCGAGUGGCGGACGGGUGAGGAAUACAUCGGAAUCUACUUUUUCGUGGGGGAUAACGUAGGGAAACUUACGCUAAUACCGCAUACGACCUACGGGUGAAAGCAGGGGAUCUUCGGACCUUGCGCGAUUGAAUGAGCCGAUGUCGGAUUAGCUAGUUGGCGGGGUAAGGCCCACCAAGGCGGCGAUCCGUAGCUGGUCUGAGAGGAUGAGCAGCCACACUGGAACUGAGACACGGUCCAGACUCCUACGGGAGGCAGCAGUGGGGAAUAUUGGACAAUGGGCGCAAGCCUGAUCCAGCCAUACCGCGUGGGUGAAGAAGGCCUUCGGGUUGUAAAGCCCUUUUGUUGGGAAAGAAAAGCAGCAGGUUAAUACCCCGCUGUUCUGACGGUACCCAAAGAAUAAGCACCGGCUAACUUCGUG